CACCUGGUUGAUCCUGCCAGUAGUCAUAUGCUUGUCUCAAAGAUUAAGCCAUGCAUGUCUAAGUAUAAGCUUUAAACGGCGAAACUGCGAAUGGCUCAUUAAAACAGUUAUAGUUUAUUUGGUGAUCGAUUACUAUUUGGAUAACCGUAGUAAUUCUAGAGCUAAUACAUGCGUCAAGGCCCGACUUCGGAAGGGCUGCGUUUAUUAGAUACAGAACCAACCUAGGCUCCGCCUAGUCCUUGUUGGUGAUUCAUAAUAACCCGGCGAAUCGCACGGCUUGUCCGGCGAUGGACCAUUCAAGUUUCUGACCUAUCAGCUAUGGACGUAGGUAUGGCCUACCGUGGCGUGACGGUA
rnacentral:ncRNA from 1 species